CCCCUUCCGGUCAGUGAGGAAGCUAAACCUCAUCAACCGGAAGGGAUUCCUUCCGGUCGAUGAGGAAGAUAUCCCUCAUCAACCGGAAGGGAUCCCUUCCGGUCAAUGAGGAAUAUUGAACUCAUCAACCGGAAGGAAUUCCUUCCGGUUGGUGAGGUUGAGCUGCCUCAUUGACCGAAAGGGA
rnacentral:miRNA from 1 species